rnacentral:rRNA from 1 species
GACGAACGCUGGCGGCGUGCCUAAUACAUGCAAGUUGAGCGAUGAAGAUUGGUGCUUGCACCAAUUUGAAGAGCAGCGAACGGGUGAGUAACGCGUGGGGAAUCUGCCUUUGAGCGGGGGACAACAUUUGGAAACGAAUGCUAAUACCGCAUAAUAACUUUAAACAUAAGUUUUAAGUUUGAAAGAUGCAAUUGCAUCACUCAAAGAUGAUCCCGCGUUGUAUUAGCUAGUUGGUGAGGUAAAGGCUCACCAAGGCGAUGAUACAUAGCCGACCUGAGAGGGUGAUAGGCCACAUUGGGACUGAGACACGGCCCAAACUCCUACGGGAGGCAGCAGUAGGGAAUCUUCGGCAAUGGACGAAAGUCUGACCGAGCAACGCCGCGUGAGUGAAGAAGGUUUUCGGAUCGUAAAACUCUGUUGGUAGAGAAGAACGUUGGUGAGAGUGGAAAGCUCAUCAAGUGACGGUAACUACCCAGAAAGGGACGGCUAACUACGUG